rnacentral:rRNA from 1 species
GCGGCCUAUCAGCUUGUUGGUGGGGUAACGGCCCACCAAGGCGACGACGGGUAGCCGGCCUGAGAGGGCGACCGGCCACACUGGGACUGAGACACGGCCCAGACUCCUACGGGAGGCAGCAGUGGGGAAUAUUGCGCAAUGGGCGAAAGCCUGACGCAGCGACGCCGCGUGAGGGAUGAAGGCCUUCGGGUUGUAAACCUCUUUCAGCAGGGAAGAAGCGAAAGUGACGGUACCUGCAGAAGAAGCACCGGCUAACUACGUGCCAGCAGCCGCGGUAAUACGUAGGGUGCAAGCGUUGUCCGGAUUUAUUGGGCGUAAAGAGCUCGUAGGCGGUCUGUCACGUCGGAUGUGAAAACCCAGGGCUCAACCCUGGGCCUGCAUUCGAUACGGGCAGACUUGAGUGUGGUAGGGGAGACUGGAAUUCCU